GUACACUCCUGCGGGAGGCAGCAGUGGGGAAUUUUGGACAAUGGGCGAAAGCCUGAUCCAGCAAUGCCGCGUGUGUGAAGAAGGCCUUCGGGUUGUAAAGCACUUUUGUCCGGAAAGAAAUCCUUGGCUCUAAUACAGUCGGGGGAUGACGGUACCGGAAGAAUAAGCACCGGCUAACUACGUGCCAGCAGCCGCGGUAAUACGUAGGGUGCGAGCGUUAAUCGGAAUUACUGGGCGUAAAGCGUGCGCAGGCGGUUUGCUAAGACCGAUGUGAAAUCCCCGGGCUCAACCUGGGAACUGCAUUGGUGACUGGCAGGCUAGAGUAUGGCAGAGGGGGGUAGAAUUCCACGUGUAGCAGUGAAAUGCGUAGAGAUGUGGAGGAAUACCGAUGGCGAAGGCAGCCCCCUGGGCCAAUACUGACGCUCAUGCACGAAAGCGUGGGGAGCAAACAGGAUUAGAAACCCCGGUAGUCC
rnacentral:rRNA from 1 species